rnacentral:rRNA from 1 species
AGGGUUCGAUUAUGGCUCAGGAUGAACGCUGGCGGCGUGCCUAACCCAUGCAAGUCGAACGCCCCGGAUGUGGGAGCGGCGAACGGGUGCCUAACACAUAGGAACUUACCCCGGGGGAGGAAUAACCCCGCGGAAGUGGGGCUAAUUCCCAAAAGGAUCCGCUGAGGAUCAGUAGUCCGAAGGGCCUGCCGGGAGGGGCCUGUCGCCCAUCUCUAUGCUUGGCAGGGUAAUGGCCUACCAAGGCUAUGACGGGUAGGGGGUCUGAGAGGACGAUCCCCCACACUGGAACUGAAACACGGUCC